UUUUCCAGUUAAUGUGGGAGGUUUUCGAACGAACCAAAUUUGAGAUGUCUAUAAAUAUAUGAAUCGGCUGUAAGGAACCGCCAUUUCCGACUACUCUCGUGUUUCUUCCGAACUCGCUCGUUCCUGAUUUGCAUCUAGGUGUAAAAUAUAUUUGCACACAUACAAUAAUGAUACACAAGUAUAAAUACGCGAUUCGAGUUGCUACAUUGUUGCCAACAAUGGCGGUCAGAGUGAGACAGCUGUGGGGAAUUCGGCUACAAACGCUUAUGUUUUUCAUUGCAUUUCUGUGCGACUUUAAACUCGUUGAAUCCUGUGUUGGCGACGAAGUCGGUGACUUGUUACUCUGCAGGUCCUGUGGACAUGAAUUGGCUUUUGAGAAAGAUGCCAACUUUAUCCACAGUCGACUUGCGCUCUCUUAUAGAAAUGAUACGGUUGUUGGAGAAAGAAGAGUGCCCGUCCAGCGGUUCGAAAACCCACAGGGCUACCAGUUUGAAGUCAUGACUUUCAGAAAGGCAGACGUUGUCAAGCACUGGCCUGCGGACAAACAUUUCACCUGGUAUCCUGGAUAUGCCUGGACAGUGGCUACAUGUCCGCGAUGUAACGCACACCUUGGUUGGGCUUUUCAACCCAUUGAAUGGCCAAAGACUUUAACCAAAGGGGAAUUUGAGGAAUCGGAGGAGACAUUUGUGGCCUUGGUCACUAAUCGAUUGUUACAAGAAAAAUUUGCAUCAACACUACUGACUCCGAAAUCAUUCAGAAGUUGACAUCUGCUGCAUUCAAAGCUACAAAUUAUACCUGGCUGUAAAAACUAUACUUUUUUUGCAUUUCAUAAUAAAUAAAUAGCAAUACAGCAUGUGGUAUUUCCUGUGAUUGUAAUACACAAAGUAAGCACUUGAGAUCGAUACUGUUACUGACAGUUUAACAUAACAGUCCAAAACUGCAAGCAUACCACAAUUCUAGAUAUAACAGCCAGACAGACAUUUAUCAUGUCAUGUAGCUUCUGGCUCUAGAUAACUAAUUGAACUACAGUUGGUUAGAUGAAACAUUCGUGUACACAUUAAGUUUUAUUGUAACAAAGAAACUUGUACACUAAGUUUAAAACAUUUUUUUCCCCAGCAGAAAAUAAAAUGGUGAUUAGAUGCAAAUUCCAUGAGAUAACAAGGUCAUUUUCCAUGAAGCAGUGGGGGCCCAAAUUUACAAGCAUUUUUUUUUUUUUUACUUUUUGUUUGGUUUAUUAAAAAUGUAAUUUCAAAUCUCACGGAUGUCUGUAAAACAAUACAAAUGAAAAUCCAAAAAAAUAAUAAUAAUAAUGGCCUCAAAAUUCCCACCCUCCCCAACACCCUAAGAUGUCUCUGCCCUACCCCAGCAUAGACCACAAACAUUGCAAGAACUGAUAGGAAUGAGCUAGUACUUUAUCUGUUGACUUAACCACAUUUUUUUUAGGGAUCUACUCCCAACUGAACAAAAGUAUAAAAACUGGAGGGGUCCACUAGUGCCAAGUCAACGCACCAUGGCUUUUGUUAAUUUAAAUCGCACAACCGUUAACAGGAAGAACAAUUUAUAGAAAUUGCCAUUCAUUUAACUACAAGAUGGCAUGCUUAUUCUAGUAGUUCCCCCCCCUAGAUGAAUGUGGGAAUUAUUGUGGUUUGACAAUUCAAAGGCAAGAAUUUGACAUUGUUUUAGAGGAGACAAAAAUGAAACAUGGCACAGACAGGAGAGGCUUCAGAAUGAGGAAAUGAAGCACAAAAUAAAAGUAAGAAAAUAUGGGUGGAUAACCAAAUGGGGGGGGGGGG